GAGAGAGAGAGAGCGAGAGAGAGAGUGAGUGUGUGUGUGUGUGUGUGUGUGUGUGUGUGUGUGAGUCUACCUGCCUAAUACAUUAUAAACAUAUAAUAUCCAACGUCUAUCUUAUACUGUAUCUAAACAUUUAUCUAAAAAUAUAUAUAUAAUAAUUGUGACAAUAUUUCCUGUGUUGUAGGCAAUACAUUGUUGGACGAAGGAAUAUUAGACAGGGAAGAAGGAGACUCAAGAAUGAAAUUAAAGAGUUAAAGGCCUUGUUGGAAAAGGAAAAGAGAAAAAAAGAAAAAUACAAGAAGAGGUGCCAGCGUUUGGGUGGGGAAAAAAAAUCCCCACGUUCUAAAGUGGAUGCACUGCUGCGUCAUGAAACAGUUAGCAACACAAUUAGGAAAAGACUAUUACUGCAGGAAUCAAUCAUUGAGGAAAUCAGGAAUAAAUACAAAAACACCAAAAAGGAACGAGAGAGGCAAAUUAUUACAAAAACGACAAUAGGAAAAAUUAUAAAGAAAUACAGGCUACAGAGGGCUGCACAGACAGCUCUAGGCUUUUCAAAAAAGCGUGGUCAAAGACAAGAUGGAGGGCUCAUAACCUUUGAAAGAAAGGAAAGCAAUAGAUUACCAGUUGAUUGCAAGCAGAAAAUAAAGGCCUUCUUCUUAAGAGAUGACGUCAGUCGGAUGACAACAGGACGAAAGCAAACUAACUCAAAAGAAAAUAAAAAAACAGAAACGUUUGCUAACUGAUUCACUGAAGAAUCUGCACCAUAAGUUUCUUUCAGAAACUGAGCAUCAGGUCUCAUAUUCUUGUUUCUGCACCUUAAGACCAUUUUGGGUUGUGGUGCCCACAGAAGCUGAUCGUGAAACCUGUCAGUGCAGGACACAUGAGAACUUACAGUUCAUGGCCAAUGCCCUGUAUGUCCAAGGUCUGUCAGCAACAAAACACAUUGAAGAGAUGGUAGAUGCAACAAUGUGUGAUGCUAAAUCCAAAGUCUGUGCAUAUGGUGAGUGCAAAGACUGUUUCAGUACAACACACACACACACUCUUGAGACCUCCU
ensembl:lncRNA